rnacentral:rRNA from 1 species
UGGGGCCUCAUUAAAAUUAAAAAAGCAUGUCUAAAAUAAGCAAUUAUACCGUGAAACUGCGAAAUGGCUCAUUAAAUCAGUUAUCGUUUAUUUGAUAGUACCUACCAACUACUUGGAUAACCGUGGUAAUUCUAGAGCUAAUACAUGCUAAAAACCCCGACUUCGGGAGGGGUGUAUUUAUUAGAUAAAAAACCAAUGCCCCUCGGGGCUUCUUGGUGAUUCAUGAUAACUUAACGGAUCGCAUGGCCUUGCGCCGGCGACGGUUCAUUCAAAUUUCUGCCCUAUCAACUUUCGAUGGUAAGGUAUUGGCUUACCAUGGUUUCAACGGGUAACGGGGAAUUAGGGUUCGAUUCCGGAGAGGGAGCCUGAGAAACGGCUACCACAUCCAAGGAAGGCAGCAGGCGCGCAAAUUACCCAAUCCCGACGCGGGGAGGUAGUGACAAUAAAUACUGAUACAGGGCUCUUUUGGGUCUUUAAUCGGAAUGAGACAAUACCCCCCUCUUCGUGCCCUAUUAUUUUUCUUACUUCUCUUACUUUG